AUUCCAUGAUUGGGACAUUCUAGGAUGUAGUCUUGAAAGCGCUCCCAUGCUUCUGGAACAGAUUCAUCAUUUUGUUGGUGAAAACUUGUAAUCUUCCCACGGAGAGC
rnacentral:snoRNA from 1 species